rnacentral:rRNA from 1 species
AGUGAACGCUGGCGGUAGGCCUAACACAUGCAAGUCGAACGGCAGCACAGUAAGAGCUUGCUCUUACGGGUGGCGAGUGGCGGACGGGUGAGGAAUACAUCGGAAUCUACUUUUUCGUGGGGGAUAACGUAGGGAAACUUACGCUAAUACCGCAUACGACCUACGGGUGAAAGCAGGGGAUCUUCGGACCUUGCGCGAUUGAAUGAGCCGAUGUCGGAUUAGCUAGUUGGCGGGGUAAAGGCCCACCAAGGCGACGAUCCGUAGCUGGUCUGAGAGGAUGAACCGCCCCCCUGGAACUGGAAACCGGUCCCGACUCCUACGGGAGGCAGCAGUGGGGAAUAUUGGACAAUGGGCGCAAGCCUGAUCCAGCCAUACCGCGUGGGUGAAGAAGGCCUUCGGGUUGUAAAGCCCUUUUGUUGGGAAAGAAAAGCAGCAGGUUAAUACCCCGCUGUUCUGACGGUACCCAAAGAAUAAGCACCGGCUAACUUCGUG